rnacentral:lncRNA from 1 species
GAAACUAGGUGUGCGCCUGACCGAUUUUGUUCUCUUGUUGGUAACUUAUCAGAAGACAACAAAAAUGCAAUAAGAGGUAUAGGAUUUGGAAGCCUACUUGAAAUCCAAUGUGGUCGACUGAGGAGGCAAUUAUGUCGUUGGUUGGUGGAUCAAUUCAAACCUGAAUGCAACAUUAUUGAACUUCAUGGUCAAAAUUUGAAACUGUGCCACAGAACAUUUUCAGAUGUCAUGGGUGUAAAAGAUGGAGGUAUACAAAUUAGUAUGUUCAUUAAUGGCAAGUCACAAAUUAGUAUUUUUUUAAAAUUAGUAUGAGAAGAGCUUUUGAGAAGUCAUAUGUAAAUUUUUUUAAUCUUUAUUACUUUUGUGACAGUUGAGGAAACACACUAGGAAAACCAACAGAGAACUUUCAGCAGAACAUAAGGCAAGUCACAAAAAGCAAUGUGAAAGGAUUGGCUGUGCAGAUGCAUAUUCGGAUAACAAUGAAUCAAAAAUUAUUAAGGCAAAUAAGUUAACCUUGGAAACUAGGUGUGCGCCUGACCGAUUUUGUUCUCUUGUUGGUAACUUAUCAGAAGACAACAAAAAUGCAAUAAGAGAUAUAGGAUUUGGAAGCCUACUUGAAAUCCAAUGUGGUCGACUAAGGAGGCAAUUAUGUCGUUGGUUGGUGGAUCAAUUCAAACCUGAAUGCAACAUUAUUGAACUUCAUGGUCAAAAUUUGAAACUGUGCCACAGAACAUUUUCAGAUGUCAUGGGUGUAAAAGAUGGAGGUAUACCAAUACAAUUGGGUGGACCAAGUGAAAAUAUUGCUGAAUUACGAGAUAUUUUUCAA